CAACAAUCUUCCCCAUCAAUCUCAGGCCCUCUCUCAUCUCAUUUCAAAAUCACGACCUCUCUCCUCUACUCCAUCAAUCUUCCCCUUCCAUUGGAGAAAAACAGCGAGAUGGAACGACGAGAGAGAAAAAUGGUUAAAUUGACUGGGGUUGCGCCGGAUCUCCUUCCGCCGCCCUCCUUCACCGCUUCUCCUUAAUCUUGCACGCAAUUCUCGCCGCCUUCACUAACCCUAGAUACCAAUUUUCAAAUGAUUAUUAUUUUUUAUGUUUGAAUUUCUGGAUUCGUUUUUAUUUUUUUAAUAUACGGGUUUGUUUGAUCUAAUUUGUGUGACUUGAUUUGGAUGAUUGAUGGGUUUGUGUUAAUUUUGCUGGAUAUUUUGUUGUGUAUAUUAGUUAAUUUAAACAUUUGAAAUCACCUAGUUUUUUUUUUUAUUUGAUUAGUUCUUUUUUAUUUCGUUGAUUUUGAUCUAUUUGUUGUGCUCUAUCUCUGUUUUUACUGGAUUAAUUAAUUUAAACAGUUGAAAUCAAUUAGGAAAUUUUAAAUUGAUUGAUUGAUAAACUGAAUUUUCAGGGUUUGUGAUUUUGUGUUUUGAAUCCUUGUUUUUGUUGUAAAGUUUGUAAAUUUUACUUGAUUUGGAAUUUUAUGGUUUAUCAUGUUAGGGUAAUGAUAUGUUUUUAUAUAUGUAAUGUUGCAAAUUGAUAGCUUCUGCUGGUUUGUUCUUCUAAUUAGGUUAAAAAAAGUAGUGAGUUUUGUUUAAUUAUCAUAAUUCAUGCUAUAUUUGAGAUUUUAGGGAGGAAAUUAGUAUAUAGUUGAAUUAUUAGUGAUGAUUUUGUGAAAUGGAUGGUUUAUAGGUGGGAAGAAAUUUAUGAAGCCACGUCAUCCUUAUGAGAAGGAGUGACUGGAUGCUGAGUUCCCCAUGCUUUGAGCCGUAUCUGUAAUGCUGCUAGGCAUCUUCUUACUCUAGAUGAGAAGAACCCUCGCCGUAUCAUUGAGGUCUUUUGAGGAGGAUGAACAGGUACGGGCUAUUGGAUGAAGGACAAAACAAGCCAGAUUACAUGUUGGCUCUUACCGUUGAGAACUUAGCUUCUUAGAGAUGUGUCUUCAGACCCUUAUCAUCAAGUAUGGGGAGGUUUUCUAUCCAGAUUGGACAUCUUUCAAGUUCAAGCAAGUGACCUGUCUGGUAGUUCUUUGGAAAACAGUCCUCAUAGUUUUAGAGAUGAUCAAACUCAGGCUAACAGCACAAAUGAGGGCAUUGACAGUACUCAUGUACCAAAUGAUCCUCAGAUUGAGGUUCUUGAUGGUGCUCAAGUACAGAAUGAGCUUGCAAAUGAGAUCCUAGAUGAUGCUCAACAAAAUGAGUCUGCAAAUGAGAUCCUUGCUGGGACUUGUGAACAAAGUGGUGUUGAAGGAAAUGCUGGUGUUGGUCCAUAUGCUGAUGUAAAUCAGUCGAGAGGGUAGUGGGCACAUUAAUUUACAACAAUUGGAAGUUCAAGCUGAAAUGAUGCUGGAGCUUGCCUCAGAUGCGGAGAAUAGAUCAGAGACAGUUACGAAUUUUUUGAGAUGUAAAUUUAAAAUUUGGUGUGCCAUAUUUUGAUAAUAUUUGUGUGCCUUUGUGGCAUGGAAAUCAGUAUUUGGGUUUUUGUUUGUUAA